CCCCACAAGGUUGUGUACUUUGCAGCUGCAACUGAGCAGCAGCGGCUUUCUCAAACUGUUGGCUACAGUUUCUCUUUAUUUCACAAAUUUUGUUGACUGUCCAAAAGGACAGAAUGGUGUGAAAUUGGCUACUUAGAAAGAGUUGACAUGGGCAGGAUAAGACACGCCUGUAAUCUCAACACAUGUGUGUCGGAGGUGAGAAGAGCAAGAAUUCAAAGAUCCAUAGCAAAUUCAAGAUCAGCUUGGGCUGUCUGCAUCAUACAACUUAUCCUGACAAGACCAAGAAGACAAAAAGAUGGUUAGGACAUGUUUCCCAAGUCUGACUCUUCAUGACCAAGCUGUUCCAACAGCACUUUAGAGGGCUGGGGCUCAGUGGCUGAGGUACCUGCUGCCCGAAGAUCUGGCUUUGGCUCUCUGGAACCCACAUGAAAAGACAAAAGCUGCAAACAACUUUUUGGAUAAGCUUCAAGCCUGUUGACUACACUAAAACUUGUUCUCCUAGUUUGGAACUGCAAGUCCCACUCUGUCCCUAAACCGUCUUAUUCUCCGUGACCUCAGAGGACCUCUGAAGCACAGGAUGAGACUGCAUAGAGCAGACCAAGAGAAAAGAGAUCCAAGGAAGACUCUACACCCCUUCUCCUAUGAGAGGUCAUAGAAGGAAGGCACGAAUUAUGACGGAGAAUGAAGACAUCAAUGGACAUCAGACCUGCUCACACUAUUUUCUUGGAAUUCCCAACUUUUAGAAUAUUAAAAAAUGACUUUUGAUUCCUGAUUUUCAUGCUGUACAGAGUGAUUUCAAAACAUCAUGUCAUUUGGGAACUGUUCACAGCUUGCAUAGGAAAGAGAUCUUGAAAAUCUUCCUUGGAGGAAAAGAAUGUGAGCUUCCUUCUUCCAGAGUCAAACCUUCAGGAGAGUAUAAAAUCCUGUCCUCCUGGGCAAGAGCUGAGGGUGAGGUGAACCUUUUUAUUGCUGUUGCAUUAAAAAUGUUUUUUUUCAUCUAACUAUCAUGAAAUUGCAGUGCACAUUUCUUUAGUUGCACAAGCAGAAUAGUCUUGGCUUAGACAAUCCCUUCAUUCAGCUGCAGGAAACUCUAGAAGCUGUUUUCAUGCUAACCCUAAAAGAUCCUUAGGGAACAGAGGGCUCUUCAUCAGUUUUCCCUUUCACAGUUAUUCUCUGGAUCUCUUUUAGAAUGGCAGUUAG